rnacentral:rRNA from 1 species
AUACGUAGGGGGCAAGCGUUAUCCGGAUUUACUGGGUGUAAAGAGAGCGUAGACGGCAAUGCAAGUCAGAUGUGAAAACCCGAGGCUUAACUUCGGGAUUGCAUUUGAAACUGUAUAGCUAGAGUGUCGGAGAGGUAAGUGGAAUUCCUAGUGUAGCGGUGAAAUGCGUAGAUAUUAGGAGGAACACCAGUGGCGAAGGCGGCUUACUGGACGAUUACUGACGUUGAGGCUCGAAAGCGUGGGGAGCAAACAGGAUUAGAUACCCUGGUAGUCCACGCUGUAAACGAUGAAUACUAGGUGUGGGGGGACUGACCCCCUCCGUGCCGCAGUUAACACAAUAAGUAUUCCACCUGGGGAGUACGAUCGCAAGAUUGAAACUCAAAGGAAUUGACGGGG